CCUACGGGAGGCAGCAGUGGGGAAUAUUGCACAAUGGGGGAAACCCUGAUGCAGCGACGCCGCGUGAGUGAAGAAGUCAUUCGUUAUGUAAAGCUCUAUCAGCAGGGAAGAAAAUGACGGUACCUGAGUAAGAAGCCCCGGCUAACUACGUGCCAGCAGCCGCGGUACUACGUAGGGGGCAAGCGUUAUCCGGAUUUACUGGGUGUAAAGGGAGCGUAGACGGCAGGGCAAGUCUGGAGUGAAAGGCGGGGCUCAAACCCCGGACUGCUCUGGAAACUGUACGGCUGGAGUGCAGGAGAGGUAAGUGGAAUUCCUAGUGUAGCGGUGAAAUGCGUAGAUAUUAGGAGGAACACCAGUGGCGAAGGCGGCUUACUGGACUGUAACUGACGUUGAGGCUCGAAGGCGUGGGGAGCAAACAGGAUUAGAUACCCUUGUAGUC
rnacentral:rRNA from 1 species